CAUAACUAUAAAACUUUAAAAAUAAAUCCAAAACAAAGUUUGUGAAAGGUCUUCUGGAGCACAACCAUCUCUCCCCCAAAAACCAUAAACUGAAAUCCAGCCCUAAAUCUCUGGGAGUUUGGGACUUUUAUAUGGAUGCGGAUACACUUUUUGGAUGGCCGGGUAGCCGGUUAGCCGGAUAGCCGGAUAGCUCUGAAUUUGAACCUCAUUGAAGCUGUCAGAAGUCGAAAGUCAGGGCAUCAAAAGUCAGAAGUCAGAUGCGGCUUUUAGGUUGGAUUGUCUGCGAAUUAGCUGGAGAGAGCAAAUCACUUAAAGUGAGCGCGAGGCUCAAUCACAGCUCUGCCAAAAGUGUCCUGCCAGAUACCGAUGCCAGGACAUGGCGACACCAGGACGUCCAGGACAACCAGGCUGCUGGAGGAGGAGGAGAGAUGCCUGAGAUGGUAGUGCUGGAGUGGAGUCACCGUCGAAUGUCAGGAGUGUGUGGCAUCUUAUAAAUCGAUAUGAGUGUCUGUUGCACCCACACAGAUCCAGAGGAGUGGCAGGAACAAGGCCGGCAAGGAAGGCAGGGUGGGGGGAAAGGACAUGGCUGAAGUUCGAUCGUUACGGUGCAUGUUUUGGCUUCCACUGGGAGAAACAAAACUUCUGAUGAGAUAGUUGUGGAUUUCGUCACUGGAAUAAAGCCUCUUCAGAAUUGCAUUUCUGCGGAGAGUGCAAAUGGCUGCGAAGGCGGGUGGCGGCAUCGCGUCAUCUUGUCAAAUAUUUCGCGCUAAAUUAACACGACAGCGCGCCCAAAUGGAGUAAGAAGAUGUCAGCCGGGCCGAAAGGACGAAGGACGCAGGACGCAGGACAUGGGGGAACUAAGAGGUUGCAAGUAGCAAGUUGCAAGUUGCGAAAGCGAGUAGCACUGACUGACGGUCCUCAAAGGAGCAGCAGCAAAAAAAAAAAAAAAAAAGAAAAACUGAAACCCAUGAAGCUCAAGUGGUUGGAGUUUCCAGGGUGAGCCUUUAGUGGAGCCUGCCAUGUGCCAUGUGGCAUGUGGCAUGUGCCUGCUACGGCUCCUUUUCCUUUCCACAUACUCUGUCAGUGUGAGAGUGCAUAAUUUGUUGGCUUUGUGCAACACCCCGGUAGCCCUUCUCCAUUCAGCUUCCUUGCCAUCCUGCUGAAGUAUCCGAAAGUCCUUUUGUGGCAAGAUGCAAGGAUGGACCGCAGCUUGGAAUGCCCUAGCAGGACACUUUGAAGGACUCUACGUAAGAAAAUUAAUGUCGCAUUUUACAUCGAAAAUCAAUUUUGUGACGAAAGUGGUUGUGACUAUAUAGUCUAGAAUAUAGACUAGACUCGAGCCUUCAAUGGAAGAGCGCUUUUCAUUGCCUACUUUUAGGCUUAUAAAUAGUACAUGCAGUCAGUGAGGCCAAAAAUGUGACAUAGCCGGCAAAUGAAAGGACCAGAGAGAAUCAGGCAAGGAAUGCGUGUGGCAGAAAGAGCUCCCAUUCGUGCCCCCCGUUCAGUCAUCCUGUUGCUCCUGUUCGGCCGCCACUAUUGCUACCUCUAAUAGUUGUUGCAAAUAAGGCCCGGACCAGGAUAUCGUUGUCAAUGGCAAUAACAAAGGCCAUAACCCACGGCAUAUGGCUUAUUACGUUUUCAAUAAGAGUGGAAAAAAGUAUCGCAUUCAAUGGCCAAGACCGAUCGCUAGCCUUAAAUUCAUAAACUCAACUCCCUAUUGGCUUUAGUUAUGUUGCAGCUUAAGUUGUA